AUUGAACGCUGGCGGCAUGCCUUACACAUGCAAGUCGAACGGUAACAGGUCUUCGGAUGCUGACGAGUGGCGAACGGGUGAGUAAUACAUCGGAACGUGCCUAGUAGUGGGGGAUAACUACUCGAAAGAGUGGCUAAUACCGCAUGAGAUCUACGGAUGAAAGCAGGGGAUCGCAAGACCUUGUGCUACUAGAGCGGCCGAUGGCAGAUUAGGCAGUUGGUGGGAUGAAAGCUUACCAAGCCGACGAUCUGUAGCUGGUCUGAGAGGACGAUCAGCCACACUGGGACUGAGACACGGCCCAGACUCCUACGGGAGGCAGCAGUGGGGAAUUUUGGACAAUGGGCGCAAGCCUGAUCCAGCAAUGCCGCGUGCAGGAUGAAGGCCUUCGGGUUGUAAACUGCUUUUGUACGGAACGAAAAGCCCUGGGUUAAUACCCUGGGGUCAUGACGGUACCGUAAGAAUAAGCACCGGCUAACUACGUGCCAGCAGCCGCAGUAACAC
rnacentral:rRNA from 1 species